CGGGCCAACGAGUUACGUUAAGUAGCAAGGUUAAGCACUUAAGGUGCGGAGCCGUAGCGAAAGCGAGUUUUAACUGAGCGUUCAGUUACUUGACGUAGACCCGAAACCGGGCGCCCUACCCAUGAGCAGGAUGAAGCGAAAGUAAAAUUUCGUGGAGGUCCGAACCCACGAGCGUUGAAAAGCUCGGGGAUGACUUGUGGG
rnacentral:rRNA from 1 species